GAUGAACGCUGACAGAAUGCUUAACACAUGCAAGUCAACUUGAACUUCGGUUUGGGUGGCGGACGGGUGAGUAACGCGUAAAGAACUUGCCUCACAGUUAGGGACAACAUUUGGAAACGAAUGCUAAUACCUGAUAUUAUGAUUUUAGGGCAUCCUAGAAUUAUGAAAGCUAUAUGCGCUGUGAGAGAGCUUUGCGUCCCAUUAGCUAGUUGGAGAGGUAACGGCUCACCAAGGCGAUGAUGGGUAGCCGGCCUGAGAGGGUGAACGGCCACAAGGGGACUGGGACACGGCCCUUACUCCUACGGGAGGCAGCAGUGGGGAAUAUUGGACAAUGGACCAAGAGUCUGAUCCAGCAAUUCUGUGUGCACGAUGAAGUUUUUCGGAAUGUAAAGUGCUUUCAGUUGGGAAGAAAAAAAUGACGGUACCAACAGAAGAAGUGACGGCUAAAUACGUG
rnacentral:rRNA from 1 species